UACGUAGGGGGCAAGCGUUGUUCGGAAUUACUGGGCGUAAAGGGCGCGUAGGCGGCCACCGCAAGUCGACUGUGAAAUCUCCGGGCUUAACCCGGAAAGGUCAGCCGAUACUGCGGGGCUAGAGUGCAGAAGGGGCAACUGGAAUUCUCGGUGUAGCGGUGAAAUGCGUAGAUAUCGAGAGGAACACCUGCGGCGAAGGCGGGUUGCUGGGCUGACACUGACGCUGAUGUGCGAAAGCGUGGGGAGCAAACAGG
rnacentral:rRNA from 1 species